rnacentral:misc_RNA from 1 species
AAGCCACAUGCCGGUGAGUUAGUAGUUGGGUGGGUGACCACCAGCGAAUCCUCACUGUUAUAUGUUUUUGUUUCUAUUUU